GGGCAGUUAGCUCAGCGGUAGAGCACUGCCUUCACACGGCAGGGGUCAGAGGUUCGAUCCCUCUACUGCCCACCA
rnacentral:tRNA from 1 species